CUCAAGUAAAAUAUUCCCAGAGAAUCCCUGAAGAGUUACCAACCAGUAGUUCCCCUGGGCUUCAAGAGAUGGGGGCAGACAGUGUGGCCCAGCAGGUUGGAGGUUUGUGCUCCUGGGGUCUGCUCCCCCGGACUCUAGAAGAGGAAAGUUCUUCCCACGCCACGAAGAAGACUUGCAUGUACAGGGCUUCAUCCAACCAGUUGAAGACCUUGUAGAAAGAGACUGACCUCCCCCAGCAAGAAGGAAUCAUGCUAGUUGACUACCUUUGGGCUCAAAUUGCAGUUCUUUUGGCGAUACACCCUGUUGGUUCUAUUUCUCUGGAGCAUACUGCC
rnacentral:lncRNA from 1 species